rnacentral:rRNA from 1 species
AUGCAAGUCGAGGGGUAACAGGAAGUGCUUGCACUUCGCUGACGACCGGCGCACGGGUGAGUAUCGCGUAUACGAUCUGCCUCAUACUAGGGAAUAGCCCGAAGAAAUUUGGAUUAAUGCCCUAUAGUAUCUUUUUAAGGCAUCUUAUUAAGAUUAAAGCUUCGGUGGUAAAAGAUGAGCAUGCGUCCUAUUAGUUUGUAGGUGAGGUAACGGCUCACCUAGACUACGAUAGGUAGGGGCCCUGAGAGGGGGAUCCCCCACACUGGUACUGAGACACGGACCAGACUCCUACGGGAGGCAGCAGUGAGGAAUAUUGGACAAUGGACGAAAGUCUGAUCCAGCUAUGCCGCGUGCAGGAUGACAGCCCUACGGGUUGUAAACUGCUUUUAUACAGGAAGAAAAACCCCGACGUGUCGGGGCUUGACGGUACUGUAAGAAUAAGGAUCGGCUAACUCCGUGCCAGCAGCCGCGGUAAUACGGAGGAUCCAAGCGUUAUCCGGAAUUAUUGGGUUUAAAGGGUCCGCAGGCGGUUUUUUAAGUCAGAGGUGAAAUCCUACAGCUCAACUGUAGAAUUGCCUUUGAAACUGAAAGACUUGAGUUAUUGUGAAGUGGUUAGAAUGUGUGGUGUAGCGGUGAAAUGCAUAGAUAUCACACAGAAUACCAAUUGCGAAGGCAGAUCACUAACAAUUAACUGACGCUCAGGGACGAAAGCGUGGGUAGCGAACAGGAUUAGAUACCCUGGUAGUCCACGCCGUAAACGAUGGAUACUAGCUGUAUGUCUACCUCAGGUAGAUGUGUGGCCAAGCGAAAGUGAUAAGUAUCCCACCUGGGGAGUACGAUCGCAAGAUUGAAACUCAAAGGAAUUGACGGGGGCCCGCACAAGCGGUGGAGCAUGUGUUUAUUCGAUGAUACGCGAGGAACCUUACCAGGCUUAAUGUAACGGGACAGGUCUAGAGAUAGACCCUUCUCGGACUCAUACAGUGCUGCAUGUGUCGUCAGCUCGUGCGUGAGUGUCAGUAGUCUAUACGAGCGCAACCCCAUCGUUAGUUGC